GUUGAACGCUGGCGGCGUGCCUAAUACAUGCCAGUCGAGCGAACGGACGAGAAGCUUGCUUUUCUGAUGUUAGCGGCGGACGGGUGAGUAACACGUGGAUAACCUACCUAUAAGACUGGGAUAACCUCGGGAAACCGGAGCUAAUACCGGAUAAUAUUUUGAACCGCAUGGUUCAAAAGUGAAAGACGGUCUUGCUGUCACUUAUAGAUGGAUCCGCGCUGCAUUAGCUAGUUGGUAAGGUAACGGCUUACCAAGGCAACGAUGCAUAGCCGACCUGAGAGGGGGAUCGGCCACACUGGAACUGAGACACGGUCCAGACUACUACGGGAGGCAGCAGUAGGGAAUCGUCCGCAAUGGGCGAAAUCCUGACGGAGCAACGCCGCGUGAGUGAUGAAGGUCUUCGGAUCGUAAAACUCUGUUAUUAGGGAAGAACAUAUGUGUAAGUAACUGUGCACAUCUUGACGGUACCUAAUCAGAAAGCCCCGGCUAACUACGUG
rnacentral:rRNA from 1 species